UUAAAUUGAAGAGUUUGAUCAUGGCUCAGAUUGAACGCUGGCGGCAGGCCUAACACAUGCAAGUCGAACGGUAACAGGAAGCAGCUUGCUGCUUCGCUGACGAGUGGCGGACGGGUGAGUAAUGUCUGGGAAACUGCCUGAUGGAGGGGGAUAACUACUGGAAACGGUGGCUAAUACCGCAUAACGUCGCAAGACCAAAG
rnacentral:rRNA from 2 species